UCAUUAGUGAGGUCUAUCCUUACCUGUGGUUCUCAAAUAGAGAACUUCAGAACAUGAUGAUUGGAGAUCUUAUGAGAUAUGAUUAUAUCUUCUUCCUUCCUGGCUGAGCGCAACAACCCUCCAGGUUUCCAUUCUGAC
ensembl:snoRNA U8 U8 small nucleolar RNA